rnacentral:rRNA from 1 species
GACAGAGGGUGCAAACGUUGUUCGGAAUUACUGGGCGUAAAGCGCGUGUAGGCGGCCCUGUAAGUCCGCUGUGAAAGUCAAAGGCUCAACCUUUGAAAGCCGGUGGAUACUGCAGGGCUAGAGUCCGGAAGAGGCGAGUGGAAUUCCUGGUGUAGCGGUGGAAUGCGCAGAUAUCAGGAGGAACACCAAUAGCGAAGGCAGCUCGCUGGGACGGUACUGACGCUAAGGCGCGAAAGCGUGGGGAGCAAACAGG